UACGGAGGGAGCUAGCGUUGUUCGGAAUUACUGGGCGUAAAGCGCACGUAGGCGGCUUUGUAAGUUAGAGGUGAAAGCCCGGAGCUCAACUCCGGAACUGCCUUUAAGACUGCAUCGCUUGAAUCCAGGAGAGGUGAGUGGAAUUCCGAGUGUAGAGGCGAAAUUCGUAGAUAUUCGGAAGAAACACCAGUGGCGAAGGCGACUCACUGGACAUGUAUUGACGCUGAGGUGCGAAAGCGUGGGGAGCAAACAGG
rnacentral:rRNA from 1 species